rnacentral:misc_RNA from 1 species
ACUUCCUAUGGUGGAAUCGUGUUGAGUUUAGAACUAUUAUUCAUGAAAAAUGUCCUAAUACUGUUAAAAACGGUAAUAUAUAUAUCCAUUCUGGUGAGCACACGAAGACCUACGAUUGUGAAUAAUAUAAGUACAAGAAUUGCAUUAAUGAGGAUGCCAACAUGGUGACCAUUCUGUGGAUCCUGGCUGCCCAAGUUUUUUUUACAGCAUGUGAAUCAACAAAUGGUACAGCAACAGGGCCAACAAUAGUACCCAGUGGAGUGAACGGUGAAUGGUCUGACUGGAGAAGAACUCAUUUCACAUCGUGUCAAACAGGAUGUGUGCGAACGGUCAAGUUGACAAGGACCUGCACAAACCCAGCGCCCUCUGGUGGUGGACGCCAGUGUAACGGGAGUAUCACCGCGGAGAUAUUGGAGACUUGCAUGGGAGAUAACUGUCUGAAAGUGGAUGGUGAGUGGUCGAAUUGGAGAAGAACUCAUUUCACAUUAUGUCAAAUGGACUGUGUGCGAGCGGUGCAGUUGACAAGGACCUGCACAAACCCAGCGCCCUCUGGUGGUGGACGCCAGUGUAAUGGGAGUAUCAGCGAGGAGAUAUUGGAGACUUGCAUGGGAGAUAACUGUGACAGAGUGGAUGGGAAGUGGUCGGACUGGAAGGACGAAAAUAUUGGACCAUGCCAAACAUCCUGUUGGCAGAUGGUGCGACUAACAAGAACCUGUACAAACCCAGCACCCUCUGGAGGCGGACGACAGUGUGUUGGAAGGAACACCAGUAAGACAGUGAAGAGAUGCAGGGGAGACAACUGUACAGCAGUGGAUGGAAAGUGGUCGGACUGGAAAGUGAAAAAUAUUGGACCGUGCGGAACAUCCUGUUGGAAGGUAGUGCGACUAACAAGAACCUGUACAAACCCAGCGCCCUCUGAAGGUGGACGGCGGUGUGUCGGAACGAACACCAGCAAGACAGUGAAGAGAUGCAGGGCAGACAACUGUAUAGAAGGUAUCAUCCUUGAAGAAAAUAGGUUAGGUACACAUGAAGUGGACGGACAGUGGUCGGACUGGGAAACUGAAAAUGUUGGACCGUGCCAGGAGUCGUGUUGGCAAACAGAGUGGCUAACAAGAACCUGCACAAACCCAGCGCCCUCUGGAGGCGGACUGCCGUGUGUCGGACAUAACACAACCAAGACAGAAAUGAGGUGCAGGGGAGACAACUGUACAGCAGUACUCCAAGAGAAAGGGUUAUUGUCGCAGCAAAGCAAAUCAGGGAACUGGUUGUGGAUACUAGUUAUGGUUGGAGUUGUUGUUGGUGUAACAGUCAAUGUGUUCACACUUUACAGACUUAAAAAAAGACGAAACAUCAAGGCAAACAGGUUGCGAGACAUGAUAGCACAUGCAGGACUAUCCAAGGAAGCUUCUUUUAAAUAAGAUGGAUUUCACGAAAACCCACCAUUAGAACUCGACACAUAUCCUUAUGACUUCAGAGUCUGAGACUUUCACGUCAUGGCAAUGCUGUGAUGUCAUUUGAGAUUAAGUUUGGACUCUUAGAGGUUUACAAGCACAAGCCCACAACAUUGAUCAGGGCCCGUGCUUAUAAAACUUAAAGUCUACACUUUAAUAAAGUCCAGACUUUAACGUAAUGCUAUUUGAAUGGCGUUGCCAUGCCGCUAAAGUCUGGACUUUACUAAAGUCUAGACUUUAAGGUUUAUAAGCACGGGGUCUGGUUCUGGUGCAGAAGAACAAAUAAUAUUUAUUUUGGGCUGAAUUUACAGACACAUUUUUUUUUUCUUUCUAAAUAUGUUUUGGGAACCCAACCGGCCUCAGAUCACAGUUAUCUUCAUAUUUGGUUGACCAAAAUACAGAAAUAUAUCUGUGCAAGUCGUCUGCUGUUUGAAAGUGAUUAUUUCAUAGCAGAAAGCUUUGAAGUGAAAUAUGUCCAUGCAAGUCAUCUACUGUUUGAAAGUGAUUAUUUCAUGGCAGACAGCUUUGAAGCGGUGACUGAAGUUGACAGGGGAGAGCAUGUAGUUUGCUAACGUGUAACUUUUUGACAUUGGAGACUUUUUUGGUGGUAAUUCCAGCCCAUGCAAAAGUAGUGUUUUUUGUACUCCGGCCAGGUUUUAAAAACAGCUAAUAUCCUGGGAGAAGAAGCUGGACAACAGGAUUUGUUAUUUUUAUGGUAUAUUGACCUUGGGCAGAAAUCACUUGUGUCCGCCCUACCCCACCCCUCUACACAUACCACCCACCCCUCUACACAUACCACCUACCCCUCUACACAUACCACCCACCCCUCUACGCAUACCACCCACCCCUCUACACAUACCACCCACCCCUCUA